rnacentral:rRNA from 1 species
UCCGGUUGAUCCUGCCGGAGGCCACUGCUAUCGGGGUCCGACUAAGCCAUGCGAGUCAAGGGGGUGUCCCUCUGGGACACCACCGGCGGACGGCUCAGUAACACGUCGGUAACCUACCCUCGGGAGGGGGAUAACCCCGGGAAACUGGGGCUAAUCCCCCAUAGGCCUGAGGUACUGGAAGGUCCUCAGGCCGAAAGGGGCUCUGCCCGCCCGAGGAUGGGCCGGCGGCCGAUUAGGUAGUUGGUGGGGUAACGGCCCACCAAGCCGAAGAUCGGUACGGGCUGUGAGAGCAGGAGCCCGGAGAUGGACACUGAGACACGGGUCCAGGCCCUACGGGGCGCAGCAGGCGCGAAACCUCCGCAAUGCGGGAAACCGCGACGGGGGGACCCCGAGUGCCGUGGCAUCGCCACGGCUUUUCCGGAGUGUAAAAAGCUCCGGGAAUAAGGGCUGGGCAAGGCCGGUGGCAGCCGCCGCGGUAAUACCGGCGGCCCGAGUGGUGGCCGCUAUUAUUGGGCCUAAAGCGUCCGUAGCCGGGCCCGUAAGUCCCUGGCGAAAUCCCACGGCUCAACCGUGGGGCUUGCUGGGGAUACUGCUGGCCUUGGGACCGGGAGAGGCGGGGGGUACCCCUGGGGUAGGGGUGAAAUCCUAUAAUCCCAGGGGGACCGCCAGUGGCGAAGGCGCCCCGCUGGAACGGGUCCGACGGUGAGGGACGAAGGCCAGGGGAGCAAACCGGAUUAGAUACCCGGGUAGUCCUGGCUGUAAAGGAUGCGGGCUAGGUGUCGGGUGAGCUUCGGGCUCGCCCGGUGCCGUAGGGAAGCCGUUAAGCCCGCCGCCUGGGGAGUACGGCCGCAAGGCUGAAACUUAAAGGAAUUGGCGGGGGAGCACUACAAGGGGUGGAGCGUGCGGUUUAAUUGGAGUCAACGCCGGG